rnacentral:rRNA from 1 species
AAACUCAAAUGAAUUGACGGGGGCCCGCACAAGCAGUGGAGUAUGUGGUUUAAUUCGAAGCAACGCGAAGAACCUUACCAGGUCUUGACAUCCAACUAACGAGGCAGAGAUGCGUUAGGUGCCCUUCGGGGAAAGUUGAGACAGGUGGUGCAUGGUUGUCGUCAGCUCGUGUCGUGAGAUGUUGGGUUAAGUCCCGCAACGAGCGCAACCCUUGUGAUUAGUUGCUACGCAAGAGCACUCUAAUCAGACUGCCGUUGACAAAACGGAGGAAGGUGGGGACGACGUCAAAUCAUCAUGCCCUUUAUGACCUGGGCUACACACGUACUACAAUGAUCGUUAACAGAGGGACGCAAGACCGCGAGGUGGAGCAAAACCCUAAAAACGGUCUCAGUUCGGAUCGCAGGCUGCAACCCGCCUGCGUGAAGUUGGAAUUGCUAGUAAUCGCGGAUCAGAAUGCCGCGGUGAAUACGUUCCCGGGCCUUGUACACACCGCCCGUCACACCAUGGGAGCCGGUAAUACCCGAAGUCAGUAGUCUAACCGCAAGGAGGACGCUGCCGAAGGUAGGAUUGGCGACU